rnacentral:tRNA from 1 species
GUAGCUCAGCAGGAUAGAGCAACGGCCUUCUAAGCCGUCGGUCGGGAGUUCGAAUCUCUCC